rnacentral:lncRNA from 1 species
UUUUUCCCUGUCGUAGAUGAACAUGUCGAGGUAAAACAAAAAGGACCCUAGUCUCUCUCAAACGAGCCCACCGCCGUAUCUCCACCGACUGCGUGUUUUCCGGCAUUGUUGGUCCUCCGGUGUUCAUCUGGGCGACGAUUGAAGACUGAAUCAAUAGGUACGUUGCUGUACUCUUUUUUGUGAUUGAAAUUAUGUCUUUUUCUCAUCUCAAGUCACAAUUUUUGUUACUCGUUUAGAAAUUUGCGUUCAUAUAAACAAAAAUUAGAUUUGAGACUUGUAGAUCGAUGUGAAUCUUUUUGUUCUCUCGAUUUAGUUGCAAGUCACAAUUUCAAUUUGCAUGUAGAGUUGUUAAUAUCUUUGAAUUCGUGAAACUCGAUUAAAGGUUUCAAUUUGGUGAGUUUUAAAAUUCCAAAUUUAAAUUGAAUGUAGAUUGAAUAAGUCUUUCGCUCUUUGAUUCCAAAUUACAAUCGAAGUGAUCUUUUUGUUCUCUUUUUGAUCUGUUUAGUCCACUAUUUGUGUGUGUGUGUGUCGUGAGUAGCUCAAGUACGUGUCUUGUUUUUUUUAUUAGUUAUAGGUUUUGUCUCUUGUAAAUCUUCUACAUCUAAGUCAAUUGUAAAUCUUUUUAGCUAAAGCCAUCCACAUAUCGUCAUUGGAAAUAUUUCAAUUGCAUGUAGAUUGAUUAAGUCUUCUAUCUCUUUGAUUCAUGUUAAUGUAUAUGUGUUUGUGUUGGAAUUCAUUGAUCCUUCUUGAGCUGUUUAGAUAUUUGAUUUUAAACUCUCAGCUCUUAAGUUUAUGAAAUUAGAAUUCUUUUGUGAUCCUUCUUGAGCUGUUUAGAUAUUUGAUUUUAAACUCUCAGCUCUUAAAUUUUGACAUUGUGAAGCUCUUAGGUUUAUUUUAAUAUCAAGUGUUUUGUCUCUUAAUAACUUUCAAUAUUUGAUAAAGCUAGUUUGUUCUCUAUUUUCAGGUUUUGGAUCUACAUUACAUCAAAGGUUAUCAAUGGAAAACAAUCUAGGAAGCAUGAGUAAGACAUCAGGUUCUUUAACAUACUAAUUUUUGUUUGCUAACUGCAACUAUGCACUAUAAUUAGUCAUCACUGUGAAUGGUUUUAUUUACAUAUGUUUGUUUUUUAUGUGCAGCCACUACUAAGGAGUUUCCCAAGCGCCUUUUCGGACAUGGUAAAGAGCCUGAACUUGAGAAAAUUAACAACAGCUGCAGAUUAUCGAUACUUAGGAAAAUCAAAGAUGCUUUGCCACAUUGAGUGUCAUAUGCUUAAUCUAAGCAUGGAUUUGAUAAACGAUAGGAACAUCAAAGAGGCGCGCAUGAAGAUUGAUGUAGACCUUUGGGAGGCUGCUCAUGAUCCUAUCUUAAUUGAGCGAAUGGAGAACUAUAAACCUCCACAUCAAUUGUCGGAUAUCCUUGAAAUUGAUUGAGAUUAAUUAGCAUUAUGGUUUUUUUUUAUCGUGCAAACAGAUUAUGUACUAGUCUUGCGACAUGUAGUUUGUAUGACCUUUGUUUUUUUUUCCUAAUUAUUUAGGCAUUUUAUGAAAGUAAGUUUCUUGAGUUCGUCUCUAAUAUCUCCUUUUAGCUCGAGCAAGAUGAUUUUUUGUUCUCCACUCUUGUGCUUAUCUGUUUUAUACGUGUUCUACUCAUGUAUAAUUUGAUCCAUUACAAACUUGAUUAUGAACACAAACAUUAGAGACGAACUCAAUAACAAAAAAUGAUCAUAAGUAGA